rnacentral:lncRNA from 1 species
GACCCACUAGAGCCAUCCACACUUUCCCCAGCCUCUUCCAAAACAGCACACUUUCCUGCUGAAGAAAAGAAGAAUGGUAUUCAUGCAGUUCCCAUGUUACAGAUGAAAACAAGAGGACUUUUUCUGUGAAGUCAAGAAAGUGGUUACAAUGGUACUUUCAGCCUGUCCGAAUUAUGUAUUGCCCCUCCCCUUUUUAUUAAUAACAUUGAAGUGUGAUGGGAAAACCACUGAAGCCAUCAGCUGAAACGUGCUGGGACUUUUUAGCCAUUCUCUUCAACAUAAAGAAUGGGUGUUUUUGGAGGGGUGAGAGGAAUGGGGAAAUGUCAAAGAGUACAAUGUUUUAGUUGAGACAGGAAGGAUAUAUUUUGUUGAGAUCUACAGCACAGCAUGGUGACUGUAGUUAACAAUGAAGUAUUGCAUAUUUCAAAAUUGCUAAGACAAUAAAUUUCAAAUGUUCUCACCACAAAAAAGAUAGGUUUUGAGGUGAUGAAUCUAUUAA